UCUCUCUACUUUCAUUGGAGAGAGUGCGGCUGGGGAAGAUGGGUUUUGGACAGGGUCGCGUCAGGUGGUGCGUGAUUGGGAUUGCCAGAGUUUGGCGUGGCGGCAAUGGGUUGUUGGUGCGUGGUCGGAUCUAGGACUCGUGGCCGGGGGUUUGUUUGGGCUAGGGUUAGUUGGGUUCGCAGUGGUGGGCCGGAGAUGGAGCAGGAAGCUGCUGUGAUUUGGGUUGUCGAGGCUGUUGUGGGGUUUGCCAGAACGGGGUUUGCAGUUUGGGGAUGGGAAUCGAAAAUUGGACAGGGGAUGGGGUAGGGGUUUGGGGUUUAGACAGGGGUUUGCAGAUCCUUCCGUUCACAGAUCUCUGGUUGCUAGAAACAGAUACAUGGGAAGGAUGCUUGAAUAGUCUAUUAUACUUCAUUAAGGAGGAGAUGAAAGGGGCUGAUAGUUGGGGUUUCCAUAGGGGUGAUUAUUGGUGCACUUCUGGCUUUAUUUGCUCUGUUUUGUAUAAGUUUUCAUAAGAGGCACACACAAAUAGGGAGUAGCAGUUCAUGGAGGGCUUCAACCCUCCCCAUGCGUGCCUAUGGUGCUGAUUCCUCUACAGUUUUGUUGGACUCAACCAUUAGUCAGGAGUCACCGAAACCAUCUGAAGGGAAUGGCAUAUCCUUAUGGCUAGAAGGACCUAAGAGGAAGAAUGUAGUCUCGGUGUCGACAUUGCACUAAAACCAUGUUUGAGAGAAAAGGUCGCCAUCUACUACAUUGGCCGACUAAAGAAGAAUGGACUGAUAUUUGACUCUAAUAUUGGCUAAAGGCCUUUUAAAGUUGUCUAGGUAAUGUUAUAGUUCACCUAAUCUAUAAUGCAAAGCAAAUCUUUUUCUUUCUUUAUUUGUUUCUUCUUCUUCUUCUUCUUUCUUUUAUGUGGUUUAGUUCGUGCAGUCUGGGGACCGAGCUUACACGAGAUGACCGUCGGAAGCUUUAUUCGUGUUUUGGUUCAUUUUUGGUUCUUCUUUCAGGAUGCCGGGAUCAAGGUUUGCUUUCUGAGGAAACAUAUUUCCGUUUAUGCCACUACGCAUGUGUUUUAGUAUGUCUUCUUUUGGUAGCAUUAGUUUGAUUGGUUAUCUUGGGGGCAUAUGUUAAUGAAUGAACUUUACUUUCCUUCUCCAGACAACUUGCUAUUGUAGUUGUUGUUCCAUAUGGUGUUGGAUCCUUAAAUUCGGUAAGCAUGAUAAAUUUUAAAAUUACAUUGUUGGUGCUUCUAAGCAUCACCUGUAGGAACAUGAAACUUUUAUUUGCAUUUCUAAGUAUCACUUCUUCUCAAUUUUCUUAUUUAUCGGGGAAAACCUCUACUCAGUAUUUGCCUUCUUCAACAUGGAAGAAUAGGCAGUCAAAUGUUGCAACUGGUGACCAUGCCCUACCAGCUGCAGUUGCAAAGCUUCUGGAUGGCCUUUCCAUUGCAACUGGUGACCAUGCCCCCUUUUUUUUUUUUUUUUUAAUGAUGAUGAUGAUGAUCGUCAUCAUCAUCCCAGCUAUUUGGGAUCAACUUUACAAAAUCGUGUUCACUUGUUAAUCCUAAUGCUUUAUCCUUGGCAAAAGAACAAGCCUUCAUAAGCCUUCUUUCAUCCUUUAAGUCUUUUUUUUUUUUUUCUAAACUGAAGACAUGGAUGAAAAUUUUUCUACGUUGGUAAAUCUGCAUGCAUGAAUAUUUCUAAGAAGAAUAGGAAUAACACUACAUAAUGCAUAUUUUUCUUAGAUACAAACAAACCUUCCUAAGUUUGGUCCUGGGCCCAAAAAACAGGGCAAUCAAUGACUCAAGUGGGCCGCACAAGUAGAAACAGUUGGGAGAGUAUGCUUACCCUUGAUUUUUGUUGCACCCACCCAUGGUGUGCCAUCAUCUGGGGAAGAUGUUUCAUAUCAAUGGAUUAGAUGGCAUAUACACAACAUGGUGGGCAUCCACUCAUUUUUUCUUGAUGGUAUGGCCCAUCUAGGAGAUGGAUUGACAUGAUUUUUUGGUGGUUGACCAAACGAGGAAGGGCGUGUCUGAUCCAUGUCCUCAGGUCAAGAUUUUAAACCAUGACAUUAACCUUGUGCAGAAUCAAAGAUUUGGGAGUUGAUUUUGUGAUCAAAUGAUCCACAUGGUGAAGUGCUUCUUGAAAUACUUGAUGUUGUGAUAUGUCAGGGUGUCAAACUGUCAAUCCUCUGAGCUAGUCUAGACACUGUCCACUUUAGACAUCACCAAUUGAUGUUGUGAUAUGUCAGGAUGUCAAACUGCAAAAUUGGUGUUCCUUCAUUGCGAGACAAAUUCAACCAUUUGGCAGUCCUUCAGUCUCUUUGAAACAUAUUGGAUUAUGCCGAGGACGGGAUGAUCUUUUUAAGGUUGGGAUGAUGGCAUUUUUAUGGUUCUCUGUUAAGUUUGGCAAAGUGGCCGAUGUAAUAGUUAUGAGAAUGCUAUAGUUUAUUCAUGUUGAUUCACAAACGCGAGGUAUACUGUUCUCGAGGGAUUAGUCUUUCAAUGUUAGUGAAUUCAAUAACCUGCUUGUGAAAAGCCAUUGCCAUGCAUUGAAACAUUUCUCCAUGAAGGUUUUCCAAGAAGCACUUGACCCCCUUUUGAUGCAUCUAAUUACAUUCUUGGAAUCUCCUUCUAUCUGGAAACACUUUUGUAAAAGCAACAAUGGAAGCUUUAGUCUAUUCUUUGCAUUUAUGCAUUUCGUUCAUGCAUCCGAAGAUCUGUCUUGAUUCAUUUUCUUGAUGGGUCUCUAGCAUACAUGUCCAACUAAUUCUUAAUGUAGGUAAAGAACAGUUGGUUUGUUCGAGGAGGCUUGACACCUUUGUGCAUCGAUGCUGUUCUGGUGAGCUUCGUGCUUAUUUGGUAUUGAUCCUUGUAAUAGUCUCUGACGUCCCAAACAAUGCUGAAUAUCUUUCUUAUGAAAUGUACCAUUUUUCUAAUGUUAUGUUGGUUAGGGAUAUGAAAUGAUAAGAGGAUGCAAAAUAGGUAGAACUUCUAACCUACAGAGGGUUUCAUGCAUUUCUUGUUGAUAGACUGGGACUAUGUGGAAGUUUUUGGUCUGGUUCUAGUCUCCUGACUGAAGCUACUGGCUCUGGACUGGUACUUCUCUUGAAUUUUGAUGCCCACUAAUGUUUUUCAUGUGUAAAGUUAGGAAAAUUACAGUCGAGCACCUAUAUUUGUGUAAUUACAGUUAUACACCUAUAUUUAUACUCACCCGGAUUGAUCACCCACUUCCAAUUUCUUGAAUUGAAGCAGUGCAGAAUUAAAUGAAGUUCAACCAAGCAUGGUGUAUGUUCCCCUCCCCUCAGCUGCAUGGGUAUAUCAGAAGCAUUUUUUUUCCUUAUUGCAGACUUGCAGUUGUGCUAGGUGGUGUUGGUUUUAGGAAACUGCAUCAAAGGAGAUGAAAAGAUGCUACUCGAUGAAUACCUGCUAAACAAGAGUUUAGAUUUUCUGUCAUUGGUUUGUCCAUAUAACUAUGAAAAACGAAGAAAGUUGCUAGAUUGGGAGAAGCGCUUCAACAUCAUCUUAGGGAUCACUCGAGGCCUUAUUAUCUUCACCAAGAUUCAAGGU